CUCUUAUCCAGAGAGGCGGAGGGACUGGCCCUAUGAUGCCCGGCAACCGGCAAGCGUACGCUUGACAAGGUGCCAAAUCCUGCAGAGUUAUAAUUCUGGGAGAUGAGAG
rnacentral:ncRNA from 2 species